AGUGAACGCUGGCGGUAGGCCUAACACAUGCAAGUCGAACGGCAGCACAGUAAGAGCUUGCUCUUACGGGUGGCGAGUGGCGGACGGGUGAGGAAUACAUCGGAAUCUACUUUUUCGUGGGGGAUAACGUAGGGAAACUUACGCUAAUACCGCACACGACCUACGGGUGAAAGCAGGGGAUCUUCGGACCUUGCGCGAUUGAAUGAGCCGAUGUCGGAUUAGCUAGUUGGCGGGGUAAAGGCCCACCAAGGCGACGAUCCGUAGCUGGUCUGAGAGGAUGAUCAGCCACACUGGAACUGAGACACGGUCCAGACUCCUACGGGAGGCAGCAGUGGGGAAUAUUGGACAAAGGGCGCAAGCCUGAUCCAGCCAUACCGCGUGGGUGAAGAAGGCCUUCGGGUUGUAAAGCCCUUUUGUUGGGAAAGAAAAGCAGCAGGUUAAUACCCCGCUGUUCUGACGGUACCCAAAGAAUAAGCACCGGCUAACUUCGUG
rnacentral:rRNA from 1 species